UCACUUUGGCAGCACAUAUACUAAAAUCGGAACGAUGCAGAAAAGAUUGGCAUGCUUUCUGUGCAAGGAUGGUGCACAAAUUCACGAUGCGUUCUAUAAAAAA
ensembl:snRNA U6 U6 spliceosomal RNA